UAAAGCGAAUAAGGGCGCAUGGUGGAUGCCUAGGCUCCGAGAGGCGAUGAAGGACGUGGUAAGCUGCGAAAAGCUACGGGGAGAUGCAAACGAUCGUUACAUCCGUAGAUCUCCGAAUGGGACAACCCGCCGUGCUGAAGGCACGGCACCCCGCGAGGGGGGCCAACGCAGGGAACUGAAACAUCUAAGUACCUGCAGGAAAAGAAAAUAACAAUGAUUCCCCAAGUAGUGGCGAGCGAACGGGGAAGAGCCCAAACCGGGGCGGCGUGCUGCCCCGGGGUUGUAGGACCGCGUUUAGGACCCGGCAUCAAGCAGAAUUACCUGGAAAGGUAAGCCGUAGCAGGUGACAGCCCUGUAGGCGGAAAUUGCCGGCGACGAGCGGUAUCCUGAGUAGCGCGGGACCGGAGGAAUCCCGCGUGAACCCGCCAGCACCAUCUGGCAAGGCUAAAUACUCCUCGGAGACCGAUAGUGAACCAGUACCGUAAGGGAAAGGUGAAAAGUACCCCGAACAGGGGAGUGAAAUAGUACCUGAAACCGUGCGCCUACAAGCGGUCGGAGUCCCGGUCCGCCGGGAUGACGGCGUGCCUUUUGCAUAAUGAGCCUACGAGUUACGCCCCGCCGGCGAGGUUAAGUUCCUCGGUAACGGAGCCGCAGCGAAAGCGAGUCCUAACAGGGCGUUAUAGUCGGCGGGGGUAGACGCGAAACUUUGUGAUCUAUCCAUGGGCAGGAUGAAGUCCCGGUAACACGGGAUGGAGGUCCGAACCCGUUAACGUUGAAAAGUUAUGGGAUGACCCGUGGAUAGGGGUGAAAGGCCAAUCAAACUGAGAGAUAGCUCGUUCUCCCCGAAAUGUUUUUAGGAACAGCCCCGGGAUGGAGGUAUCGUAGAGGUAGAGCUACUAAUUGGGCUAGGGGGCUUCACCGCCUACCAAACCCUGAUAAACUCCGAAUGCUACGAUACGUACCCGGGAGUGAGGCUGCGGGCGCUAAGGUCCGUGGCCGAGAGGGAAAUAACCCAGACUAGCAGCUAAGGUCCCCAAUGGUACGCUAAGUUGAACAAACGCGGUCCGGAUCCUACGACAGCCAGGAUGUUGGCUUGGAAGCAGCCAUUCAUUUAAAGAGUGCGUAACAGCUCACUGGUCGAGGGUCCGGGCACGGAAAAUGAUCGGGCAUCAAGCGUGCAACCGAAGCUCUAGGGUGGCGCGGCAUAAGCCGCCCACCGGUAGGGGAGCAUUCCGGCCUGCGCCGAAGGUGUACCGCGAGGUAUGCUGGAGCGGCCGGAAAAGAAAAUGUAGGCAUAAGUAACGAUAAGGGGGAUGAAAAAUCCCCCCGCCGCAAGACUAAGGGUUCCUGAUCAACGCUAAUCGGAUCAGGGUUAGUCGGGUCCUUAGGCGUAGCCGAGAGGCGAAGCUGAUGGCAAGCCGGUGAAUAUUCCGGCACCCGCCCGCAAUUCGACGGGGUAACGGAGAAGUGAAAGGACUGCGCAGUUACGGAAUACUGCGUUGAAGGGUGUAGUUAUAGGCCGCGUAGGAAAACCCGCGCGGCUUGGCGAACCUGAUAGUACGGCGAGGCCCCGGCCAAGCCGAUAACGUCCCUAACCAUGCUCCCGAGAAAACCCCCUAAGGCCAGUUGCGUGGCGGCCCGUACCGUAAACCGACACAGGUAGUCGAGGAGAGUAUCCUCAGGCGCUCGGGUGAUCCGUGGUAAAGGAACUAGGCAAAUUGACGCUGUAACUUCGGGAUAAGGCGUACCGCAGCGAUGCGGUCUCAGUGAAAUGGUCCAACCAACUGUUUAACAAAAACACAGGGCCCUGCAAAAUCGAAAGAUGACGUAUAGAGCCUGAUACCUGCCCGGUGCUGGAAGGUUAAGGAAGGGUGUUCGGGGUAACCCAAAGCUCCUGACUGAAGCCCCAGUAAACGGCGGCCGUAACUAUAACGGUCCUAAGGUAGCGAAAUUCCUUGUCGGGUAAGUUCCGACCUGCACGAAUGGUCUAAUGAGUUGGACACUGUCUCUACCACGAGCCCGGUGAAAUUGUAGUAUCGGUGAAGAUGCCGGUUAAUCGCAACGGGACGGAAAGACCCCGUGAACCUUCACUACAACUUAACAUUGAUUUUGGGUAAUAGGUGUGUAGGAUAGUUGGGAGACUUUGAUGCGCGCUCGCCAGGGCGCGCGGAGUCGUCGUUGAAAUACCAACCUCCUGUUACUUAGAGUCUAAUCCCGCGCAAGCGGGAGACAUUGUUUGGUGGGUAGUUUGACUGGGGUGGUCGCCUCCUAAAAGGUAACGGAGGCUCGCAAAGGUACCCUCAGUACGGUUGGUAAUCGUACGCAGAGCGCAUUAGUAUAAGGGUGCUUGACUGUGGGGCAUACAAGCCGAGCAGGUGCGAAAGCAGGCUAAAGUGAUCCGGCGGUUCUGCAUGGAAGGGCCGUCGCUCAAAGGAUAAAAGGUACUCCGGGGAUAACAGGCUGAUCUCACCCAAGAGCUCAUAUCGACGGUGAGGUUUGGCACCUCGAUGUCGGUUCGUCACAUCCUGGGGCUGGAGAAGGUCCCAAGGGUUCGGCUGUUCGCCGAUUAAAGUGGCACGUGAACUGGGUUCAGAACGUCGCAAGACAGUUCGGUCCCUAUCUGUUGUGAUCGUUAGUAAAUUGUGGGGAUAUGACCUUAGUACGAGAGGACCGGGUCGUACGUACCGCUGGUGUAUCUGUUGUGCCGCCAGGUGCAGUGCAGAGUAGCUAUGUACGGUCAAGAUAAACGCUGAAAGCAUCUAAGCGUGAAACUUACCCCGAGAUGAGUUUACUUUCAAGGGCCGUCGGAGACGACGACGUUGAUAGGCUACAGGUGUAAGGGUGGUAACACCGCAGCCGAGUAGUACUAAUUGCCCGUAAGCUUUAACUUUAU
rnacentral:rRNA from 1 species